UACAGAGGGGGCAAGCGUUGUUCGGAAUUACUGGGCGUAAAGGGCGCGUAGGCGGCCUGCUAAGUCGAACGUGAAAUCCCUCGGCUUAACCGGGGAACUGCGUCUGAUACUGGAUGGCUUGAGUUCGGGAGAGGGAUGCGGAAUUCCAGGUGUAGCGGUGAAAUGCGUAGAUGUCUGGAGGAACACCGGUGGCGAAGGCGGCAUCCUGGACCGACACUGACACUGAGGAGCGAAAGCCAGGGGAGCAAACGGG
rnacentral:rRNA from 1 species